AGAGAACACACACUGGAGACAAACCUUAUGAAUGUGAUGUUUGCAACAAAAGAUUUUCACACUCAAGUCACUUAGAGGUUCAUAAGAGAACACACACUGGAGAGAAACCUUAUGAAUGUGAUGUUUGCAGCAAAAGAUUUUUUGACACAAGCACCCUAACUAGACAUAAUCUCACACACAUUGGAGACAAACCUUAUGAAUGUGAUGUUUGCAACAAACGAUUUUCACGCUCAAGUCACUUAGCGGUUCAUAAGAGAACACACACCGGAGAGAAACCUUAUGAAUGUGAUGUUUGCAACAAAAGAUUUUCACACUCAAGUCACUUAACAGGUCAUAAGAGAACACACACUGGAGAAAAACCUUAUGAAUGUGAUGUUUGCCACAAAAGAUUUUCACACUCAAGUCACUUAACAGGUCAUAAGAGAACACACACUGGAGAGAGACCUUAUGAAUGUGAUGUUUGCAACAAAAGAUUUUCGCAGUCAAGCAAUUUAUGUGUUCAUAAGAAAACACACACUGGAGAAAAUUUUACCUUAUGAAUGUGAUGGUUGUAAGAAGAAUUAUGUAGGAAUUAUGAAAUUAGAAAACGUAGUUCAGUCGGCCUGUAGUUGGUUUUCAAAAUAAAAAAGUAUUUGUUGCGAAUGCCAGGGGAUCUCCCGUGGGGGUUCAUGUUGCUCACUGGGGUACACACCUCACCUGGUGCUGUCUUGCACCCUUGUUGUUCAUGCAUUUUCUGGUUUUCGAAUAGCGAGUAGAGGAACUUCUACUGUUAGCGAGUGUUGAUUUCUUGAAUAUUGAUUUGUGAGCUCACUAG